rnacentral:rRNA from 1 species
GAUGAACGCUGGCGGCGUGCCUAAUACAUGCAAGUCGAGCGAACGGACGAGGAGCUUGCUCCUCUGACGUUAGCGGCGGACGGGUGAGUAACACGUGGAUAACCUACCUAUAAGACUGGGAUAACUUCGGGAAACCGGAGCUAAUACCGGAUAAUAUUUUGAACCGCAUGGUUCAAAAGUGAAAGACGGUUUUGCUGUCACUUAUAGAUGGAUCCGCGCCGCAUUAGCUAGUUGGUAAGGUAACGGCUUACCAAGGCAACGAUGCGUAGCCGACCUGAGAGGGUGAUCGGCCACACUGGAACUGAGACACGGUCCAGACUCCUACGGGAGGCAGCAGUAGGGAAUCUUCCGCAAUGGGCGAAAGCCUGACGGAGCAACGCCGCGUGAGUGAUGAAGGUCUUCGGAUCGUAAAACUCUGUUAUUAGGGAAGAACAUAUGUGUAAGUAACUAUGCACGUCUUGACGGUACCUAAUCAGAAAGCCACGGCUAACUACGUG